rnacentral:tRNA from 1 species
AUUUAUAUAGUUUAAAUAAAACAUAAUAUUGAAGAUAUUAAAAUGAAUUUUGUUCUUUAAAUA